AGCAUAGUGUAUGGGCGAGGUGCACAAGCAACAUUAUGCAUGCGCCCUUAAAAUAGGAUCUGAACAACGCGCCACUGACUUUAAACCAGGUAUUUUCCUGGUUUGUGGCGGAAUUGUUUUCUAAAACUGCAAAAUAGCACCAGGGAACGUUUGCGCCAGAACACGCCUCUUCCUUUCGCCGAACCGCCCCUUGGGGAGCAAGGUCAUUCCCUAAUUUACCGACACGUGGCGGUGGAGGGAAAGGAACGCUCUGCACCAGUUGCAAACUAGCAACGACACAUGCGUCAGUGUAGAAAGUCAAUUGCGCUGGAUGCAAGAUAGGGCCCCAAGUGUGUUGCGGUCAAUACUUUUAGACACACCGGCUCAGGGAAUUCGGGGAGCACACUCCAUUUAUAGCCAGAUACGCUCGGGGGUGCUUCAUUAGCCAGUCAGCCAGUAUACAUUCAAUGCUAGCAUGUCAGGCAGUAGGCCUACACAUUAAAUACUAGCAUGUUUUCAAAUACUAAAUACUACAAAUGCCAUGGGGUCAGGCUCAGCUGUUACCUUCUGCUCCUACAAGUUAUUACUAAAAUCCCCUCCCUCCAUCCCCCUCUCCAUGUCAGUGUGCUGGAGCACCGAGGGCGUGGGGGUCUUCUCCCUGCUGCUGCGGGGUGGUCAGCCGCGGGCGCGCCUGCUCUGGACAGCCGGGGCCGCCACCCUCUCGCCCCUGACCUCCAGCGAGACGGAGGAGAUGGGGGACGACGGGCGGCGGGAGCUGCGGAGCGUGUGUGCCCUGCAGCGGGCCGGCCCCGGAGGGGAGGCGCCAGGGACACGGCCGAGUGGAGGACGUGCUCUGAGCAGAGGCGGUAAGACGGCGGUGAGCCCUGGCGACACAGAGGACAUUGAGUACAUGGACCAGAAGGUGGACGGAGAGAACAACAACAAUGUGGAGAGCUGGGCGGGGACCAAGACGCUGUCCGAAGAGGAGAGCCAUGGGGAGGAUGAGGAGAGCGAUGAGGAAGAGGUUGGGCCCGGGGGCCUGCACAUAAACCGGGUGGACGUGAGGACGCCCGCCCGCCAAGUUAGGAGGGGUCUGCGGGUAUGUGUGGAGAUCUCACACCCGGCCCUCGCUCUGCCUGUCUACAGAACAUGGACAGAGUCAAUACAGGAGGAGUCAUCUUCCAUUUGACCAAUUGGAUACCUGAAACAGGGAUGUUUUUUUUUAUAACCUACUGUAUGUAAUGAUAAUGAAGAUAUCACACUGUAGCUGGUCCAUAUUUCCAUCUUUUCCCAUAGGUUAUUUAUUUAUUUGUAUUAUUAAUCCACUGUCUUUGAUAUCAAUAGUUUUUAGUCUGUAUUUUUAUUUUAUUUUUUAGAAUAGUAGUAAUAGUAAUAAUAGUAAUCCUAUUGUUUCGUUAUACGUGUGUGUGUGUGUGUGUGUGUGUGUGUGUAGAGAGAUUUUAUAAUGUUCAGACUCAUAAUCUAAAGAUACAUGUCCUAGUUUUAUGUGGAAUCCGUUCGGUUUGGGUUUAGUGUAAAAAUACUUUUUUUUUUUACAGAGUUUCUGAUUAAUAAAAGCAACUGACGGU
ensembl:lncRNA